UACAGAGGGUGCGAGCGUUAAUCGGAAUUAUUGGGCGUAAAGGGCGCGUAGGUUGAUUGUAAAGUGAGGUGUGAAAUUCCUGGGCUUAACCUGGGCCUUGCAUUUCAAACUUACAAUCUAGAGUACAGUAGAGGGAAGUGGAAUUUCCGGUGUAGCGGUGAAAUGCGUAGAUAUCGGAAGGAACAUCAGUGGCGAAGGCGGCUUCCUGGACUGAUACUGACACUGAGGCGCGAAAGCGUGGGUAGCGAACAGG
rnacentral:rRNA from 1 species